rnacentral:lncRNA from 1 species
UGGGUUCAGGGCCGAGGAUUUACGGUUUAGUGUUUAUGAUUUACGGUUAAGAGUUUUGGGUUUAAGGUUUAGAGUUUUGGAGUUUUGGGUUUAGGGUUUAGUAUUUAUGGUUUAAAUUUUAGUACUUAAGGUUUUUGGUUUUGUGUUUCGGGUUUUGUUGACGGCGUUAACGCUGGCAUUUUUUCUAGUUAUUAUUAUUUUUUAAUUUUAAUAUUGUUUUUAAUUUGGAUGUCACUUUGAUUAGUGAUAAGAACAUAAGUGAAUUUAACAAUUCAUCGUAGGUGAAGGCAAGUUUUAUUCGUUUUUCAGCUAGUAAUAAAAGACUUUUCUAGUGUUCAUCUCUAAGUAAAUUGUGUGUUCAACUCUAAAAAUGUUAGUUAAUAAAAAUUUGUCAAAUUAUAUUUUUUCUAAAAAAGUAAAAAAUAAUAAUAAUAAAAGUAUUAAUUGCUGAAUUUUUUUUGUAACUUGUUAACGCAGUCAGCUAAUUCCUAUGAUUUAGGGUUUAGAAUUUUGCCGAUAGUGUUUAGGACUUAGGAUGCUGAUGGCGUAGAAGAUUUAUGGUUUUGCUUACAGCAUUAACAACAUCAAUUUUUUUUUGACAAGUAUUUUUCUAAGUAUUUUUAUUUUCAUAAAUAAAAUAUAACUUGAAAUUUUUUUAUUGCUAUGUGAUUGCACAUGUUGACUCG